GUAUUUGUCUCUGCAACACAACACCAUGUGUUGUUGUUGUGUACACCACACACACAACAUAACAUAAAUCAUAGUAAAUGUUUUUUUUUUUUUGUUUUUUUGUUUUUGCAGCAUUAGAUUGCAGAGAAAAGGGAGGGAGUAGUAGCAGUAGGUGGUAGGAGGUGUAGUUAAUAGCAAUAGGAACAGCAAUUGUUGCCACUGUCACACUGCUCUUUCUGCCCUCUCACCCUUCUCGUGAUUACCCUUUCAACCUUUUCUGUUUUCUCUUUCCUCUUUCACCAUAUUCACCCUUUUGCCUUUUCCUUCCUUCUCUCUCUCUUUCAACUUCAAACUUCAAACCCUAGCCAUACCAUUGGCAUGCUCUUUCUCUUUCGGUUGCUUUUCAUGUAUUACGCUUUUGGGUCUUACAAUUCCCUUCAUACCGCUUUUUUUGGGAUUUUGGAGCUGUUUCAGGUUUGGAUGCCGAGAGUUAUGACUGAAGAGAAAUUUGGAGGUGCCCUUUGCGGUUUUGUACUUCUGUGCCAUCAUCUGUGACUUAUCUUUGAAAUUGGGCUAAAGCUGAGUUCUCCUAUUUUUAUCUGUCAACUUGUCAUCUAUCAAAUAUGGAUACCUGUGGUAGUACAUGUGAGAUAGUGGAAUCAAGGGAAGAAAUAAUAUCUGAGAUUAAAAUGGUUGACAAACCUGAGAGUAGUUAUGGUCACAAAUCAGGAAAAAGGUAUUCGAUUGAGAAUGAUAUUAAUCAGCUUUUCCAGGCUAUUGAUAUUAAAAGUUCAUCAAGAAGUCACAGUUCAUCACGUUUACAAAAGAAUGCUCUUAAAAGGCCAAUAAAAGUCACUUCAUCUCAGGCAUCAGGAAUUGGCAUCUCAGAGCCUGUAAGUUUGAAGCAGGCACUUAGAGGGUUGUGCAUCUCUCAGGCCUCAGAAAUGGCUGCUUUGAAAAGAUUGUCUAAGCCAUGCAGUUCAUCUAGAGCAUCAGAGGCUGGCACCAUCAAAAGGUUGUACACAGCGGUGGUAGAUGAGGGGAAAGGGAACUUGGUAGAAAUUUCUCUAGUGCCAGAGAUAUCUACUGCACCUUGUAAUAAAUUGCCCAGUGUAACUACAUCAAGUUCAAUUGAUCAUUGUACUAGUCCUUUGGUUGAUGCUACAAAACCAAAAGAAAUGAUGAUUGGAUUUUCAUCCCAAGAUCAGAUUGUUCCUCUGCCUUUAGAGGUUGAGGGUUACAAACCAGUCAUGGACAUUGGAACACCAAUACUUGCAAAUUUGUCACCAGUUGCCUCUGCUAGUGAAGUGGUGCCAGAGGUUCUAAGGGAUCCUGCUUCCUUAAGCAAAGCUUCUCUUAUUUCUUCAAUGCCAGGUAAGGGGCAGGAAGCAAAUUUACUUCCUGCAUCUUGUCCACCUAGCUCUAGCGCUGGCAAUGGAGGGGAUAAAUCUACAAGCAGUAGUACAUGUUUGUCAAAGCCAAUAUUCAAUAACUUGAAUUUCCUUAAGAAAAAGGUAAAGCAGGAUUUUAGUUCUUCCUCAAGUUGCUCCACUCCAUGUACAAGUAAUUUGGACAAGGAGGUUGGAAAUUCUGAUUUGAAGCACGGAGUGAAAGAAAAUGAGAAAUUGUCUCCAAGCUGUUCAAAUCAUAGCAUUGAAGUUAACUCAAUUAGUGUUGGUACGGAUUCAAGCAAAUCUGGUUUCAGCUUGAACUGCAACAAGAGAACUAAGUUUCUGGUGACCAAAGUUGAUGAGAAAUCAAGAUCAAAGGAAAAGGGUGAGUUCUCUCAAAGUUCAAAAAGUAGCAUUGGAGAGUAUAGUAGUAGCACAAGCAUCAGUGAGGAAAGCAGUCUAAGUGGUUCCAGCCGUGGUGGCCACAGACCUCACAUGUCAAAACAUAUGAGAUGGGAAGCUAUCCGAGUUGUUCAGCAGCAACAUGGUAAUUUAAAUUUGAAGCACUUUAAGCUGCUAAAGAGGCUUGGUAGUGGGGACAUUGGAACUGUUUACCUUGCGGAAUUAAUUGGUACAAGCUGCCUUUUUGCACUCAAAGUGAUGGACAAUGAAUUUUUGUCAAGUCGGAAGAAGAUGUUCAGGGCCCAAACUGAGAGAGAGAUCCUUCAGAUGCUAGAUCAUCCAUUUCUUCCUACACUGUACUCCCAUAUUGCAACAGAUAAGCUCUCUUGCUUGGUUAUGGAGUAUUGUCCAGGAGGAGAUCUGCAUGUGCUGCGACAGAGGCAGUCAUACAAGAGUUUCUCGGAACAAGCAACUAGGUUUUAUGUUGCUGAGGUUCUUCUUGCCCUGGAGUAUUUGCAUAUGCUGGGAGUUGUGUACCGAGACCUAAAGCCGGAAAAUAUCCUAGUGCGAGAAGAUGGUCAUAUUAUGCUGACAGAUUUUGAUUUGUCACUCAGAUGUUCUGUCAAUCCAAUGUUAGUCAAGUCAUCUUCACCUGACACAGAUGCCACGAAGAAGACCUGUUCUGAAGCUAGCUGCAUAGACCCUUUCUGUCUCCAGCCAGAUUGGCAAGUUUCGUGCUUUACUCCCAUUCUAUUAUCUGCUGGAGCAAAAUCCCGAAAGAUGAAGUCUGACAUAGCUUCUCAUGUUGGUCCACUGCCACAGCUUGUAGUGGAGCCUACCAGUGCACGGUCUAACUCCUUUGUUGGAACCUAUGAAUAUCUUGCUCCGGAGAUCAUCAAGGGUGAGGGUCAUGGGAGUGCAGUAGACUGGUGGACUUUUGGUAUUCUUUUGUUUGAGCUUUUAUAUGGUAAGACUCCAUUCAAGGGCCAAUCAAAUGAGGACACAUUAGCCAAUGUUGUGUCACAAUGCCUAAAGUUCCCUGGUGCUCCAAUAGUCAGUUUUCAUGCCAGAGAUUUGAUCAAAGGGUUGUUGAUAAAGGAUCCUGAAAAUCGAUUAGGUUCUGUAAAAGGUGCUGCUGAAAUAAAGCAGCACCCGUUUUUUGAAGGUCUCAAUUGGGCUCUAAUACGGUGUGCGGCACCACCAGAGCUCCCCAAGUUUCGGGAUUUUGGAACAAGUGCUCCAUCUAUGGCUGCAAAUAAGGAGAAUGCAAAUGAUUUAGAGGAUAUAGAAGAUUGUGAAGAGUUUGAGCUGUUUUAGUUACUCGGUCCCUUCCAACCCCAGUUUCCUUUUUCGUUUCUCUUUAUGAGGGUGGUGGGUGUUUUCUUGAUUUAAAGCACAGAUUGGAGAUGUUGGCAUUCAAUACAUGCAAAUUUCCAGUGACUGCCAGCUUUGGAAAAGGGAUAACUGAUGUGCCCAUCACGUAACACACAUGACCAUGCCUAAGUCCAUAACAGUUACUGGUCAGGAUGAUGGAUAGCACAGGUUUGCAAAAGGUAAAUUAUAACUAUUGGUUGGUUCAACUUGUAGAUAAAAGCAAAACAUUUCGGUAUAGCUAUUGGCCAAAGCCAUGAUGUGCAUGAACUAGAGUUGGAAUGCUCUGUGCAAGUCAUGGCUGCCGAAGGUAUAUUUGGUAUAUCAAAUUAUUUUGUUAAGAUUGUCAUGUAUUGACUUGUACAUUGUAAUUUCCUGAGGCUGAAAUUACAUAUAAAACAAAAUCAUUGUCAUUUAAGCAAUUUAUACACGGUUCCCCGUUGAUUUUACUUUUCCUUUGUUUUGUGACUUAUAAAAGUAUUUUUUCUGCGAUUGCAUUACAUAUAUCUAUGCACGUAUGUAAGACCAGAUUGUUUUCAUAGUUUUAAACUCUUCUAACUUGACUCUCUCCCUGAAUACCACUUGAUCUUAUCCAAAAGGCUGAAAAAGGUGUUUUAUUACUUCCUGAAUCAAGUGGAGCAUCAUCUGUUAUGUUUUUUUGCUUCCUGCCUUUUCUUGUAAUGUUUUGAAUCUUUGGUACCUAUCUUUUUAUGUACUCCGGUGGUGCUUGGGUUGCAUGAACUUGCAGAUACCAGAGGAUCAUUGUUGAACAAUAAUUAGAACCAGUGAAUGAACAUAUACAGAAGGAAUCUUGAUCACUUAAACAUCCAGAAGAUCUUAUUCUACUGGGGCAAAUAAUAUCAAUGUUGAACCACUUCCAUUAAAGUUAAAAUCAAUCCCAGAUGUUAAAUCACUUGUUUUGGGACGUAACAGUUUUUUUCAUUACAGACUUAGUGUGACACUGAAGUUGAUUCUGUGUUUUUGGUGUCACUGCCAUUCUUGCUUUAAUUAAUCAAUAGUUUACAAGAAAGAAGAGCAUGGAUGCAAGGUGUUGAAGUAAUUUAGCUGCAGAUUUCCAUCCAAAUUAAACCAUUACUUCAUAUCAAUUUCACCAACAACCUUCCAUUGAGUAUGUGUUCAAUUUGUCAGAGAAUAUCAUAUAACAUUCCUCUUAUUUCUGUCCAUAGAUUCAUUUCGUUGAGUUUUGUCAUAUCAAUUCUGUAAUAUUCCCAUGCAUGGAAAUGACAGUGCAAGAAGUGUUACAGGAGCA